CCCUUAGAUGUCCUGGGCUGCACGCGCGCUACACUGGAAGUUACGGAUUGAGAUACUACCUUGUCCGAAAUGGUCCGGGUAAUCACCUAAAAGCUUGUCAUAAUUGGAAUGGAUUAUUGUAACUAGUAAUCCUGAACGAGGAAUUCCUAGUAAGUCCCAGUCAACAGCUGGUACUGAUUACGUCCCUGCCCUUUGUACACACCGCCCGUCGCUACUACUGAUUGGACGUUUAAGCAAGAUUUUUAAACACUGACAGUGUGUAGUUCACGCUAUACUACAGUGAGAAGAAGAAGAUCGAGCUUACUUGUCUAGAGGAAGUAAAAGUCGGAACA
rnacentral:rRNA from 1 species